AUGGCGAGCCAAGUCGUUGCCUCCAUGCUGGCUCUGGCAUUGCUCCUUGGAGCCUUCGCCUCCAUCCCACAAAUCGUCGAGUCCAUCGGGGUGUGCUACGGCAUGAGCGCCAACAACUUGCCGGCGGCGAGCACCGUCAUGGGCAUGUUUCCAACGGGAUCAAAUCGAUGCGGUUGUACGCCCCGGACCAGGCGACGCUGCAGGCCGUCGGCGGCACGGGCAUCUACGUGGUCGUCGCGGCGCCUAACGACGUGCUCCCCAACCUCGCCGCCAGCCCGGCGGCCGCCGCCUCGUGGGUCAGGAGCAACAUCCAGGCGUACCCCAAGGUUUCCUUCCGGUACGUCUGCGUCAGAAACGAGGUCGCCGGCGGCACCACCCGGAACCUCGUCCCGGCAAUGA
rnacentral:rRNA from 1 species